UACGUAGGGUGCGAGCGUUAAUCGGAAUUACUGGGCGUAAAGCGUGCGCAGGCGGUUUGCUAAGACCGAUGUGAAAUCCCCGGGCUUAACCUGGGAACUGCAUUGGUGACUGGCAGGCUAGAGUAUGGCAGAGGGGGGUAGAAUUCCACGUGUAGCAGUGAAAUGCGUAGAGAUGUGGAGGAAUACCGAUGGCGAAGGCAGCCCCCUGGGCCAAUACUGACGCUCAUGCACGAAAGCGUGGGGAGCAAACGGG
rnacentral:rRNA from 1 species